rnacentral:rRNA from 1 species
AUUGAACGCUGGCGGCAGGCCUAACACAUGCAAGUCGAGCGGAGCGGCGGACGGGUGAGUAAUGUCUGGGAAUCUGCCUGGUAUUGGGGGAUCACGUCCGGACACGGGCUCUCAUACCCCAUACUCUCAUAUUUGCCUCGGUCGGAUUAGCUGGUUGGGGGGGUCAAGGCCUACCAAGGCGACGAUCCGUAACUGGUCGGAGAGGAUGAUCAGUCACACGGGAACGGAGACACGGUCCAGACUCCUACGGGAGGCAGCAGUGGGGAAUAUGGGAAAAUGGGCGAAAGCCUGAUCCAGCCAUGCCGCGUGUGUGAAGAAGGUCUUCGGAUUGUAAAGCACUUUAAGUUGGGAGGCGUUACCAACAGAAUAAGCACCGGCUAACUUCGUGCCAGCAGCCGCGGUAAUAC